UACAGGGGGCGCGAGCGUUGCUCGGAAUCACUGGGCGUAAAGCGUACGCAGGCGGGUCGAUAAGUCCGUUGUGAAAUCCAGGCUCAACCUGGGAAUGGCGAUGGAUACUGGCUCGCUAGAGUGCGGUAGAGGAGAGUGGAAUUCCCGGUGUAGCAGUGAAAUGCGUAGAGAUCGGGAGGAACAUCAGUUGCGAAGGCGGACUCUCUGGACCAGCACUGACACUGAGGCACGAAAGCGUGGGGAGCAAACAGG
rnacentral:rRNA from 1 species